UUCAAAAGUGUUAAAUGUUUAACGUAAGCUACUUAUCGGAUAUAGGAAAUAUUUAAGACGCAUAAUUUUUAACGAGAAAUUCCUUUUUUACAUAUGACAUUAGAGAUAAAUGAACCAUGAUGCCAAUUGUUAAAACUUACGGCAACCUAUAUUUAAUUGGAAUUCACACUUCAGAAAAUGAUGUGAACUUUGUUUCUAACUCAGUGGGUCACCAAGCAAGGAAGAGUGGUACGGUCUGUACUAACAGCAAAAAUACAAAUAGCUACAAAUCGUGAUAUUUUCUUCAAUGACCUCAUCCUACUCUCCACCACUUUCUGUUUUUCCCACAAUUCAUUUGUGUACGCCCAGCAGCGCCAUCAUCACGAAUGACCAUCGGUCAAUACAAUUUUCAAGAACUGAAAUGUCGAAUAUACACUUCAGUUUUCAUCAGACAAAAGAAAUUCGUCUUCGGCACGUACUGUAAAACUCACGUUUCCAAUUUCAAAUCGAGCACCCACACUCGAGUUUCCCUAUGAUUUUCGCAUUCAAAUGAAUGGAAAAUAUUGAAAUUAAAGUUCUUUUGUGUGUCAGUAAGAAAUAAGUUAAAAAUCUAAUUUUCGAAAUCGUGUAGACAUUUUAAAUUAGGUUCACAGAAUGCCCUAAAUUGUUAAAUACUUCUCACCUUGAGUUAUUACCUAUUUGCUGCCCUAAAUAUGUAAGAGUGCCUUUAAUGCAAUUAGUUACGGGAUAAAAUAAAUAGAAAAGGUAUAUAAAACCAUAAUGCAGAACAUAUAUGAUACAUUUUUUUCUGAAUUAAUUUUAUGUCAUAUGAUUUCAUACAACUAAAAGUUAUUCAUGAUAUGAACCACUUAAAUUUUUUUUUCAGCCAUUAAAUUGCAUUUGCAUGAAAUCAUUACAAAAGAAAUGAAUGGAAGCUAUUAAAAUAUAACUUUAAAUGCAGUUUACGUUUAGGACUUCAGACAGAAUAUUAGGUAAAGUGACUGACGAAUUAAAAGAAGUUGAAUGAAUAAAGUAAAUACUAGGCAGAGAAUAAAGCCAUUCUAUCAAAAUUUCUAACGAAGUCAUUCCCAUCAGAUAUUCUUAUGUUUAAUUAAACUUUUAUCCUUUGUUAAACUAUAAACUUAAGGGGCAAGUAAAAUAGGUACUUACAUAUUAUAGCAACCACCUUAGUAGAAAUCGCCAGAAUUUCACAAUACGCCCACUCUGGUAACCAUCCACAUAACAA